AAUGCUGCUUGAAUAGAUGGGAAUAUUUCUUAGAAGUGUUCGUGAGUAUAGUGUCGGAUCGUUGGCGCUAACCAUUAAUCCCAAAAGCUCGAGCUGUUAGAAAUACGCAACUAAUUCACUUAAAGCGUACAGAAACAGCGCCCACGGGUCUCGAUUGUGACUCGGCCCACCUGGCCUCACGCCACUUCGAACAUGACUCGGCCCAACCCAGCCUCACGCCAUUUCGAACAUGACUCGGCCCAUAUGGCCUCCCGCCACAGGGCAGGAUGCUGGCCCAUUUAAGCCAACAUAUAGCACUUUUGACUCUUGAAAUAAUUCAAUUUAUCUUAUUCAAAUAUUAUCUAAAAUUCCUUCCUCUGGGUUGAUAAAAUAUAGAUCUUGAAACGCAUCUGAUUUAUUUAAAGCGAAGGUAUUGAUAAUUUCAUGUUUUUAAAAAUUAGCUUGAUUCUUUAUGGAUAUUUUGAUAUAGUUUUGAAAUAAAGUAUAGAAAUUGAAGAAAAAAAAAGUUACCUUUAAUGAAUAACUAGUAUAGAGACCCGCGCGAUACAGCGGGUAGAUAAUAGAAACAAAAUUUUAAUAAAAUUUAUAUUUACAACUUAUUGAUGUAUAAGAAGCUAUACCCAUGUUAAACAUAAUCAAUUUGUAUGACUAAAUUCAACUAUUAAAAAAGUAAAUUAUAGUUAGAAGUUUAUAUAUAUAUUUUAAAAUCAUCGAAAUACAGUAAGAGACAUAUAAUUUUAUCGUAUUAUGUGCAUCUUAAACAUUCCGUUGUGAAAAAUAAAAAAGAGCUAGCUCCAGUGCAGCUAAAUCAACUUAGUGGGUACUUAUAUGAGCCGCGGCUCGAUUUUGCGGAACGAUGCUUCUCGAAGGAGACAAUGUUCUACGCAUGCUCUUCUUCUUCUUCUUCAUCGUUCUCAUCAUCUUCGUUAACACAAUAAGAGAGAGAGAGAGCUAGAUGAGUAUUGGGUGGAAAAUUAUAUGAUGAUAUUUUUUUUGCAUGAAAAAUAAGAGGCCAUGCAAAAGAGAGGGGGGUGGGGGAUUAAUGGAGGUGGGGUGGAUUGGUGUUAUAAAGCCCAUUUAUUUGUAGAAUAUAGUGCCUAUAAUUAAAUGUUGCAUUUUUGAUUAAUUAAUUUUCAUGAUUUCAAAGGAUUGGGAGGUGAAGGGUUUGGCGUUGAAAAGAGAUUUGAGGGAGAAGAAAUGACUAAUAUUGAAGAGAAAAAUAAGUAAUAUAUAAAUUAAAGAGCACAUUAAUUACUUAUCAUUGAAUAGAGAGGAGGGGAGGGGAAAAGCCAAGAACAAAUGUGAGUUCAAAAAAAAGAUUAGUAAGGUUGAAAGAAAACUUGCCAUGUGGCAAAAAAUAUUGAAAAUUUAUUUAUGUUAAUAGAUAUCUAGGAGAUCUAUGCAAUU
rnacentral:lncRNA from 1 species